rnacentral:rRNA from 1 species
AAUGAACGCUGGCGGCAUGCCUAACACAUGCAAGUCGAACGAAGGCUUCGGCCUUAGUGGCGCACGGGUGCGUAACGCGUGGGAAUCUGCCCUUGGGUUCGGAAUAACAGUUAGAAAUGACUGCUAAUACCGGAUGAUGUCGUAAGACCAAAGAUUUAUCGCCCAAGGAUGGGCCCGCGUAGGAUUAGCUAGUUGGUGGGGUAAAGGCCUACCAAGGCGACGAUCCUUAGCUGGUCUGAGAGGAUGAUCAGCCACACUGGGACUGAGACACGGCCCAGACUCCUACGGGAGGCAGCAGUGGGGAAUAUUGGACAAUGGGCGAAAGCCUGAUCCAGCAAUGCCGCGUGAGUGAUGAAGGCCUUAGGGUUGUAAAGCUCUUUUACCCGGGAUGAUAAUGACAGUACCGGGAGAAUAAGCGCCGGCUAACUUCGUG